AGAAGCCUAGAAAUCACGCAAAUCAUAUAUGGGCUUAUCUAACCGGCCCUAAUCCUUCUCAGUUUCUCUUUCCCACACAUAAACUAAUCUAACCUAACCCUUAAUUUUCAUUUCUUCUCACGCAGUCACAACAAUUUUCACUCUAUCUACUCUCUCAGUCUCUCUCCUCUUGGUUUCUUCUCAUCUCACUCUCAGUGACGCUGCUCUUCAAGACUUCAACAAUGACUUGAUGCUCUUCUAAUCUCCAUUUCUGUGUUUCAACUUUCAAGAAGUAAUUUAGUUAGUAUGUUUGAUGAAGACUUGAAGGAGUUAAUUGUGCUUUCUUCAGAGGUAGAAGAGGAUAUCGAGAUCGACUCUACAUAUAAGAGAACGAUUACUUGUAAAAAGAUUUAUUUUUUGUAGCUAAAUGUAACAUAUUUAUACAGUAAACUACUUCUAUCUCUAAAAUACUUUGAAGUAUGAACUAUGAACUUGGUUAACUUUGUGUUUGUGGUUCUUGAUUUAGUGAACCAGAUCAGGUUCUAAUGUUCUAUUUUUAAGAUGCUCUGUCUUUGAAUC